GACGGGAUCCAGGUGUUAGCUUGCUAACAUCUGGUGAGAGUGGCGCACGGGUGCGUAACGCGUGAGCAACCUACCCAUAUCAGGGGGAUAGCCCGAAGAAAUUCGGAUUAACACCGCAUAAGACUACGAGAUGGCAUCAUCAAGUAGUUAAAUAUUUAUAGGAUAUGGAUGGGCUCGCGUGACAUUAGCUAGUUGGUGAGGUAACGGCUCACCAAGGCGACGAUGUCUAGGGGCUCUGAGAGGAGAAUCCCCCACACUGGUACUGAGACACGGACCAGACUCCUACGGGAGGCAGCAGUAAGGAAUAUUGGUCAAUGGACGGAAGUCUGAACCAGCCAUGCCGCGUGCAGGAUGACUGCCCUAUGGGUUGUAAACUGCUUUUGUCGAGGAAUAAACCUAUCUACGUGUAGAUAGCUGAAUGUACUCGAAGAAUAAGGAUCGGCUAACUCCGUGCCAGCAGCCGCGGUAAUACGGAGGAUCCGAGCGUUAUCCGGAUUUAUUGGGUUUAAAGGGUGCGUAGGCGGCACUUUAAGUCAGGGGUGAAAGACGGCAGCUUAACUGUCGCAGUGCCUUUGAUACUGAAGUGCUUGAAUGCGGUUGAAGACGGCGGAAUGAGACAAGUAGCGGUGAAAUGCAUAGAUAUGUCUCAGAACACCGAUUGCGAAGGCAGCUGUCUAAGCCGUUAUUGACGCUGAUGCACGAAAGCGUGGGGAUCGAACAGGAUUAGAUACCCUGGUAGUCCACGCCCUAAACGAUGAUAACUCGAUGUUUGCGAUAUACCGUAAGCGUCCAAGCGAAAGCGUUAAGUUAUCCACCUGGGGAGUACGCCCCGCAAGGGUGAAACUCAAAGGAAUUGACGGGGGCCCGCA
rnacentral:rRNA from 1 species